GAUGAACGCUGGCGGCGUGCCUAAUACAUGCAAGUCGAGCGAACAGACGAGGAGCUUGCUCCUCUAACGUUAGCGGCGGACGGGUGAGUAACACGUGGAUAACCUACCUAUAAGACUGGGAUAACUUCGGGAAACCGGAGCUAAUACCGGAUAAUAUAUUGAACCGCAUGGUUCAAUAGUGAAAGACGGUUUUGCUGUCACUUAUAGAUGGAUCCGCGCCGCAUUAGCUAGUUGGUAAGGUAACAGCUUACCAAGGCAACGAUGCGUAGCCGACCUGAGAGGGUGAUCGGCCACACUGGAACUGAGACACGGUCCAGACUCCUACGGGAGGCAGCAGUAGGGAAUCUUCCGCAGUGGGCGAAAGCCUGACGGAGCAACGCCGCGUGAGUGAUGAAGGUCUUCGGAUCGUAAAACUCUGUUAUUAGGGAAGAACAAAUGUGUAAGUAACUAUGCACGUCUUGACGGUACCUAAUCAGAAAGCCACGGCUAACUACGUG
rnacentral:rRNA from 1 species